ACUCAAAGGUUAGGCUAUAGGUUCAUGGUGAUUUGGGCUGUCUUGACUUCUCACAGCGAGUCAAGCGAUCAUGCACACGGAGAAAGAGGCCGACGGACAUACAGAGAAAGAGAGACACAUGCACACUCACACACACA